rnacentral:rRNA from 1 species
UACCUACGGGAGGCAGCAGUAGGGAAUCUUCCACAAUGGGCGAAAGCCUGAUGGAGCAACGCCGCGUGAGUGAAGAAGGGCUUCGGCUCGUAAAACCCUGUUGGUAGUGAAGAAAGAGAGAGGGAGUAACUGGUCUUGUUUUGACGGUAAUUAAUUAGAAAGUCACGGCUAACUACGUGCCAGCAGCCGCGGUAAUACGUAGGUGGCAAGCGUUAUCCGGAUUUAUUGGGCGUAAAGGGAAUGCAGGCGGGCUAUUAAGUCUGAUGUGAAAGCCUUCGGCUUAACCGGGGAAUUGCAUUGGAAAA